GGUGUUUCCUAACUGGGGAGCGGGUGGGACUCGUCCGCGGCAGAACAGCCUCCAGAUGGGAACACGCCUCGCCGCAAGCAUCUGUCAGCAGUCAUUACCAGGUGGCAGAUGGAUGGGGAAACAGUAGGAAGUAUCUGGAUCAUGGCCAUCAGCCACCUUCAAUCAUCUUUUGAUUCUUGUUCCAAUUCAUUAAACUGCGGUGCCUCCGACUCGAGUCAUACAGCAAGAUGCAGCCAAGAGAAUCAGAGUCCAUUUAUCCUGAAACUUGGCCGUUCCUGAGCUGGAAACUUCCACACCGCACCGUUUCUUAGGGCAGGUAAUCUGUGCAUAUUUAGUAUCUUUCUUUUGAUGGUCUUUGCUCGGAAAGACUGUUGAUUAUACAAACGGGAAGCAGAGGACAAGAUGAUUUGCAAGCGAUUAAAAGAUGAUAGUCAUUCAGUGACGCAGUCAGUAAAGAUCGGCCGCCUGUUGUGUGUCAGGCACCAUGCUAGGUGAUGGGACACAGUCGCAAAUAAGAUGGCUUGUGCCCUUGAGGACGUACAGCCCCGAACUAACAUUUAUUGAGCGUUUAAUGUAUGCCAUUGAGCAUUUAACGUGCCUUAACUCAUUUUAUCCUCACCACAACCCUCUGAGGUAGGUUCCGAAAGAUGAAGUAAUUUACUCAAGAUCGUACCACUUGGAGAUAGAGGGGCUGGGCCUCGGACCCACGCAGACUGUUUCCAGAGCCUGUGUCCUUGACCUUUGCAGGUUUUUGCUCUCGAGCGGGUGAUACAAACAUCAGGCCGUGACAAAACAUGGCCAGGGCCACCACAGAUCAAUGCAGACCCGCACAAGCGGCACCCGGAAGGGACCGCUAAUCCAAGCUGGGGGAUGGCCAGGGAAGGUUUGCGGAGGGAGUGGUGUGGAUAGCCAGCCUGGAGGAGUGAAGAACGAGGCAGGGGGUUCUGCACAGAGGGAACGCCAUGCACAAAGACCAGAGGAGACAAGGCUUAAAACACAUGGUGGCAUUCUACAUGGUGGCAUUCUACGAAGAGUACCGCCUUAGCGAGGGAGGGAGAAGUGACAGCUGGGGACAGAAGCACUGAAGGGGGGCACAGGUAGCUGCAUGCAGCUCGUCCUCAGACCCACUUCUCUCCCGAGCGCUGGAGGUACCUUUCCAUCCCAGGUGAGCAAGAAGGCAAGGGAGAGGGGACUGGGGCCUGGGAGACGCCCAGGGUGCCCUGAGUGAGGUGAGGCACCAAGUGCCCGGCUGUGGCUGCCGUGGACACUGGUGUCCUUUUCACUCCUCUCCUCUUUUCAGCCAGCAAGUCCUUAGGGAAACUAUGCAGAAGGAAUACAGUUUUGAUUUUCUUUUGGAAACCAGGAGGGGCGUGUCUAAUGUCAAUGCUGCACAACUGUGGAGCUGGGAGUCCUUCAAUGGCGAUUUUUGAUUUUUGAAUCCAGCGUCAGCAGCCACGUGACUCGGGAUGAGGCUCUGAGACAGUACUUGUAGAGACUAUACAAGUAAGGAUAUCAAUUGCUUAGCAUGCAGGAGGGGGCAGUAACUGCUUUUUAGCAGGGAAGGCGGGGCACCGACAGGGGAGAAGAGGAAGUCAGAUCAUCGACAUGGAGGUUUCGCUGCUUAAGGCUCUACAGCCCUUGAGUGAUUUCUAUGUCAGCCGUUCUCAAAGGGUGACCUUUGGAAGCCGUUGCAUUUUUGGUUGUUGCAACGACCAGAGCUUUCUGAUACGUAGCGCACAGGAGGCAUCCUGCAGGGUGAGAUUCUCAACGGGAAUUGCUUCAUAUGACAAAAUAAAUCCUGCCGGACAUUCACAGGGGUGGAAAAACCUAUUUAUGGUUAUCUGAGCCUAGGCUGUAACUUGACUUUAUGUGUAAAACACAGGCUCGUUGGUU